rnacentral:rRNA from 1 species
CCUACGGGAGGCAGCAGUAGGGAAUCUUCCACAAUGGGCGAAAGCCUGAUGGAGCAACGCCGCGUGGGUGAAGAAGGUCUUCGGAUCGUAAAACCCUUUUGUUAGGGAAGCAAGUUCGUGAGAGUGACUCUUCACGUUUCUACGGUAUCUAACCAGAACGCCACGGCUAAAUACGUGCCAGCAGCCGCGGUAAUACGUAGGUGGCAAGCGUUAUUCGGAUUUAUUGGGCGUAAAGGGAACGCAGGCUGUCUUUUAAGUCUGAUGUGAAAGCCUUCGGCUUAACCGGAGUAGUGCAUUGGAAACUGGGAGACUAGAGUACAGAAGAGGAGAGUGGAA